rnacentral:misc_RNA from 1 species
GCGGGGAAAGAUCAGCACGACGUUCACCCAGAAGCUCAUCAGCGAGGCCUCGCGCGGACCGCGCGUGGAGAGGAUCCGCUGCAUGUCGUAAUUGGGGGCAGGGCCCGCCGCGCUGGCCAGCACACCCUUGAGCAGCA